rnacentral:rRNA from 1 species
CUUGCUUUCUUUGCUGGCGACCGGCGCACGGGUGAGUAACACGUAUCCAACCUACCCUUUACUCGGGGAUAGCCUUUCGAAAGAAAGAUUAAUACCCGAUAGCAUAAUGAUUCCGCAUGGUUUCAUUAUUAAAGGAUUCCGGUAAAGGAUGGAGAUGCGUUCCAUUAGGUUGUUGGUGGGGUAACGGCCCACCAAGCCUUCGAUGGAUAGGGGUUCUGAGAGGAAGGUCCCCCACAUUGGAACUGAGACACGGUCCAAACUCCUACGGGAGGCAGCAUG